GCUGCAGAUUUACUAGGGUGCCAAAGAUUCUUUCCCAUCCCAGUUACGAAAAACCGGAUAUUAUAAUGUGGUGAAAGAAAGUAAGUAUUAAAUCUGGUCGAGCUAAC